ensembl:lncRNA
AAGAAAGAAUCAUUAAGUGUCAUAACACGCCUAAUAUUGAAAUGUGAUGUGUUUCUUUUCUAUCAUUUCCAAAACAGAGUAAACUGAAAAAUGCUUGAUGACAACACAUUUAAAUAUGUAUAGGCUUUUCAGGCAUGUGUGCAGAAAUAACUGAUGACUUUGAUAUCAAUAACACUUUUCUAAAUAAGUAAAAGAAGUAGAAGAACUAAAAGAAGUCAAAGAAACGUAAAAUAAAUAUGUUUUUAUCCCUUUGAUUCCCUGAAUUUUCUGGGGAAUUCCAUAGUUCUGCUCGGCGUGGAGUGCUGAUUAAGGGAGAAGCUCUAAUUAUUCCUUGAAAAUGAAGUCAUAUCAUGUUGGAGCGUGAUCUCUUUCAUAACUUAUAAGUUUACCAAAUCAAAAACAUUAUGUCAUAGCAGGAGCUGGAUGGAAGACCUACUUAGUGGAAGCAGUAGUUUAGAUUGGAAAGAUGGCAUUCUUCCCUCUCAGCUACACGUGCCUCAUCUUUGUGCUGAGGAAGUGCAUCAUGUUAACUCUACCGAGCCCUUUUUCUGAUGCAGCUACAUGAACAUCAGCCUUCUUCCAUUCUGAAUAAUUACACUGACCUCGCUUCAGAAGGAUGUUAAGUUUGUCUCUGAAUUUCCCCUCUGAAUUUCCCUUCUGAUCUCUCUUUAUGGUUUCCAAAUACCUCCUUCCCUCCUCUCAGUCGCUGCUUCAUUGACUCAGUGACCUUCAAGCCAUAUGCUUGGAGGCUUUUCUUGACUGUUUCAUUGUUUACUUUGAUUUCACUACAUUAUUAACUGCUUUGCCAUGAGACUGGACUUUGCAUGGAACUUUCUCACUCCAUCCUUAUUUGUCUCUGCUUGUUUUGGGCUCUGCUUUGAUUAUUGGGCACUCACCCACUGUAUGUAGUUUAAUGAGAACAAGUGCUGGAUUCUGCACCUGGGAGGAGGAGACCCUGGCUAUAGGUACAUGCUGGGGGUCAAAAGGCUGAAGAGCAGCCCUGCAGAAAGGGAUCUGGGUGGAUCUGCUCUCUGUGACAGCGGCAGGGCCCAAGGGAAUGGCAUGGAGCUGUGUCAGGAGGGGAGAUGGGGGGCUAGGGAAAGGUUGUGUCCCAGAGGAUGGUGGGCAUGGAACAACCUGCCCAGGGCAGUGGGCACAGCCCUGAGCUGCCAGACCUCAGGGAGCACUGGGACAAUGCUCUCUGAUAUAGGGUUUGAAUUCUGGGCAUACAGUUGAUAAGAUCCAUGUGUGAAGUCACUUGACUUUCAGCUACCUGCUGCAGAGAGUAGGUCAGAGGAGAACAUCAGCAAGCUGUUGUGGAACAGCACAAUGAAAAGCAUGAGGGAGAUAUAUCAGAGGAACAGAUAACUGUUGUCAAAGUAAAUGAAGCUUCUUGACCCAAAUGAGAAGAAGGAGAGCUGGGAGUACCCCAGCUACAUGGAAGCUUUGUCUAUGAAGCCAAAUUAAACCCUGCAAGUAAGGUUUUUCAGAGCAUAUAUUUUUGCCUGAAGAGAAUGAAUGUCCACUGUCCCACAGCCUCUCUGUCAUGUUUACUAGCACAGACUGGAGGUUACGGGUCAGAAACCUUCAUUGCUCCUGUCACAGCCACUGCCACAUUACUGAACACAUCAGUGGCAAAUGGAAGACAAAACUGAUGUGCUGUUUUAUGUAAAGCUCAUUGCCUUGCACUAGAUGAGGGCCAUGUCUCUGAUGAGCUCAUCUUUUCUGUCUCUAAUAGCAGGAGAAACAUGCUGCUGAAAACACUCCCAUAAAUCUUUGUGCUGUUGUUGGGGAAUGAGAGCUGAUGUCAUGUUGGGCUGAAUGCUUUCAGUUACAUAAACAACAGGAGGGAGCCUUAUCUCAGGGCACAGAAUUGAAUUCAACCCUGACACUCGUAUUUGCAAUCCCAAGAAAGCCCAAGAAAGCCAUGCAUGAUCUGAGAUCCUCAAAAUGCAGUUUAAGAGUAUGUUGUCCUGGGAUUUGGUAGUGGGGAUGACUCUUAUUAAGUUGUCAGUGCUGCAGUUCAGUUUCUAUUGACUAAUUUGCUCUCUGUGUGGACGAGCAGUGUGUAUGAAGGAAGGGAUGUGGUGAAGACUCGGAGAAGGGGAGGCAGAGAUACUACAUAAAGCUCAGUGGGGGAUGAGUGCCUCUUCUCCACGUGCACUGUGAAUAACCUGGUAUCAGUGAUGCAGCUUAGUCCAAUACUGGCUUCAAAACAAGAUGCAUGUUCAGGCUUCUUAAAACAAUUUGAAAUGUUCUACAUCUUUCCCAUGUUAUUCUUUAGAAAGUAAAAAUAUUUGUUGCACCCAGCCUGGAGGUGUGUACAGUGUCUCUGCAGCUGGCUGCUCAGCGCGCUAUGGGAUGCAAAAUAACAGCUCCAGGAGCAGAUGGGAGGAGCUGCUUCCUCUAUUGUUUUUGACUGUUCUGAAAAUAGCUGCCGCAAGCUGUGCAUCCCCACGGGAGGCAUUUCCUCCUACACACUGUUCACUCGUGCACACUUCUGUGGCAACACACGUUAGGCUGGGAGACUCAAAGUUCAGCUUGUAAAAGCCUUCUGAAAUGAAGAUCCUCCUUGAAGUCCCCUGGUAAGCCUCAGUGCCCACAAGGCGUGAGUGCAAGGUCACCUCGGCUCCUCACUCCUGAGCAACAGGCAUGAAGGGCAAAGUCCUACCACUCCUCCUGGGGAUCUUGGUGUUCCCCAUUAUGGCUAAGAUUCUGAGGACUCCAUUAGAACCUUUAAAUUAAAUGUAUUUUUC